UACGUAGGGUGCAAGCGUUGUCCGGAAUUAUUGGGCGUAAAGAGCUCGUAGGCGGUCUGUUGCGUCGGCUGUGAAAACCCGAGGCUCAACCUCGGGCCUGCAGCCGAUACGGGCAGACUAGAGUUCGGCAGGGGAGACUGGAAUUCCUGGUGUAGCGGUGAAAUGCGCAGAUAUCAGGAGGAACACCGGUGGCGAAGGCGGGUCUCUGGGCCGAUACUGACGCUGAGGCGCGAAAGCGUGGGGAGCAAACAGG
rnacentral:rRNA from 1 species